rnacentral:rRNA from 1 species
CCGGUCCUACGGGACGCAGCAGUAGGGAAUAUUGCUCAAUGGGGGAAACCCUGAAGCAGCAACGCCGCGUGGAGGAUGAAGGUUUUCGGAUUGGAAACUCCUUUUGUUAGAGAAGAUAAUGACGGUAUCUAACGAAUAAGCACCGGCUAACUCCGUGCCAGCAGCCGCGGUAAUACGGAGGGUGCAAGCGUUACUCGGAAUCACUGGGCGUAAAGAGCGCGUAGGCGGGAU